CGACCCCGAGCCCCGGCCUCCCUGCUGGGCACCGAGCCGGGCGUGCCCGGAGGCUGGCCGGCCGGCGGUUCCACGCUCGGAGGUAGGUGGUGCUGUUGCCGCGACGUCUUCCUCAUUGGCGCCGCGCGGAGAGGCGGAAUGUUCAACUCCUGACUCCGGCGGAAGCGUGGGAGCCGCGCGGGCCGCCGUCCCCGACCCCCGCCGCCGCUCGCGCCCGAUCCGGGAGCCAGAUUUUGUGGACGUUUACUACUUUGUCAUUAUGAGAUGUCGUCUCUCGGAGCCUCCUUUGUGCAAAUUAAGUUCGACGACUUGCAGUUUUUUGAAAACUGCGGUGGAGGAAGUUUUGGGAGUGUGUAUCGAGCCAAAUGGAUAUCACAGGACAAGGAGGUGGCUGUAAAGAAGUUACUCAAAAUAGAGAAAGAGGCAGAAAUCCUGAGCGUCCUCAGUCACAGAAACAUCAUCCAGUUUUAUGGAGUGAUUCUGGAACCUCCCAACUAUGGCAUCGUCACAGAAUAUGCUUCCCUGGGCUCCCUGUAUGAUUACAUUAACAGCAACAGGAGUGAAGAGAUGGACAUGGAACACAUCAUGACCUGGGCCACUGACGUAGCCAAAGGGAUGCAUUACUUACACAUGGAAGCUCCUGUCAAGGUGAUCCACAGAGACCUCAAGUCAAGAAACGUUGUUAUCGCUGCUGACGGAGUGCUGAAGAUCUGUGACUUCGGUGCCUCGCGGUUCCAUAACCACACAACACACAUGUCCUUGGUUGGAACUUUCCCAUGGAUGGCUCCAGAAGUUAUCCAGAGUCUCCCUGUGUCUGAAACCUGUGACACGUAUUCCUAUGGUGUGGUUCUCUGGGAGAUGCUAACAAGGGAGGUCCCCUUUAAAGGUUUGGAAGGAUUACAAGUAGCUUGGCUUGUAGUGGAAAAAAACGAGAGAUUAACCAUUCCAAGCAGCUGCCCCAGAAGCUUUGCUGAACUGCUACACCAGUGUUGGGAGGCUGAUGCCAAGAAACGGCCAUCGUUCAAGCAAAUCAUUUCAAUCCUGGAGUCUAUGUCAAAUGACACGAACCUUCCUGACCAGUGUAACUCAUUUUUACACAACAAGGCGGAGUGGAGGUGGGUAGCUCCGGCAUGAGUCCCGGCCCAAGGCUGAGGAGAACCAGACACCCGAUGGACAGUCCUGAUGACUAAGCACAGCUUGGGGGCGCGGGGGAUGGGACAGCAAGCCCAAGAGUUAUAACCCCGCAUUCAUAUGUGAGAGUUUGCCUAUGCUUGUUGUCGUCUAUGGUCGAAGUGUCUGGGGGAGAGUACUGAAGUCAAAGCCAUUUCCAGACCCUUCUCUGUACACAUUCUGUGUUGAGAAGCUUUGGUCUCUUUCCAGAAAAAAAAUAUCUUUUUGAAAUAUAUAUAUAUAUAUAUGCAUAGUGUUAGCCUUGCCAUGUGUAGAACACUGUAUCUGCUAGCGCAUGGCAUGGGGAAACCUAUAAAACAUGUUAGACAUUAUAAACUCCAGCGAAACAAAUGAGUAAAGAGAGAAUCGGAUUGUGUGAGUGGAAAAACAACCCAAGAUGAAACAGUUGGACCAGGUCGAAUGACGCAGGGAAUAUAAAUAGCAUGUUUGGGAGCUGGACACUGUUCCUCCCCUGACUCAGCGGAGAUUUGAAGUAACUUCAUCCUUGCUCCGAUAUCCAUGGCAGGAACGUGAUGCCCUACGCCAUCUGCUGGUGAUAAGGCAGUACUGCAUGCACUGGCUCUUGCCACCUGUCAGUACACUUGACUGAGGGCCUUCUAGUUGACUGAUAUUUUUACUGUGACCUUAUUUAUUUAUUUUCAUUCCUUUGAAACAGCUUUCUCGGGCCAUUAACUUUCAUGAUUUUUUUCUUAGAAAUAUAAAAUUAAUGCAGUGAGCUCCCAUCUAGAUCGGAGGGCUUUUUUUUUUUUCUGGUCUAAAAUAACUUAACAAAAGCUUGGUAUGACAUUGUUUCCCACAGUAACAUGUAAUCAGACCACUUCCCCUCAAGCUCCAUAUGUGUGCCUCAUUGCUCUUCAGACAAAGGCAGAAAUACGUAUGAUUUGGAAGACCCACCAUCCAGCCUUGUCUUGAGCAUGCCCUAAGCUUUCAAUCCCUCCACAGAGGCCCAGGUCUCCCUCACCAGAGCCUCUCAGUGCAGUCUCCUUUUUAUAGACACCCUGUUUCAGUUGCACAUUCCUCCUGUCCCUCCUCCCCCCCAGCUCCCAUUAGCCGCCCGGGCAGCUGGUGACCUUGCAUUUCUGCAAGGGAGCAACCCACACUCACUGGCCAGGUGUGAAAUUGAGGCAACCCUUGAGCGACUGAAGAAACUAGAGCGAGAUCUCAGCUUUAAAGAGCAGGAGCUCAAAGAACGGGAGAGACGUCUCAAGAUGUGGGAGCAGAAGCUGACGGAGCAAUCCAACACCCCGCUUCUCUUGCCUCUCUCUGCAAGAAUGUCUGAGGAGUCUUACUUUGAAUCUAAAACAGAGGAGUCAAACAGUGCAGAGAUGUCAUGCCAGAUCACUGCAGCAAGUAACGGGGAGGGCCAUGGCAUGAACCCAGGCCUGCAGGCCAUGAUGCUCAUGGGCUUUGGGGAUGUCUUCUCAAUGAACAAAGCAGGAGCUGUGCUGCAUUCUGGGAUGCAGAUAAACAUGCAAGCCAAGCAGAAUUCAUCCAAAACCACAUGUAAGAGGAGAGGGAAGAAAGUCAACAUGGCCCUGGGGUUCAGUGACUUUGACCUGUCAGAAGGUGACGAUGAUGACCAUGAUGGUGACGAUGCUGAGAAUGAUGUGGAUAAUAGUGAAUGACACCAGAAAGGAAUAAGCGUGAAAAUGCUUUAUUUCGUUUUUUUGUUUUGUUUUGUUUUGUUUUUUUAGAAGAACAGAAGAAAUGUGUUAUCUCAGUCUAUGCCAAAGAGCAGCAUAGGGAGGCAGAGCCCCCAGCACUGCGCCUGCGCCUGCGCCUGCGCCUGCGCCUGCGCCUGCGCCUUAGGCCAAGCUCGUUUAGGGCGUUUCCCUCAUCAGUGUGACUUUGCUUUUGCGCUCAGAAAAGGGCAGGGAAAUAAGCUAAAGGCAUAUUUAUCAGCGAGUGUGGUGCCUGGUUAUAGAAAUACGUGAUUACACACAUAUCAUGUUCUAGAGCUAGUGACAUUUGGGCUUUUUCUUUUUAAAGCGCAUGCUCUGUAGUUUGUAUCUGGCUGUACUUAACCCUUUCACUCAGUUGGUUAAGAAAUGUCCAUUUCGAGCAAGCACUCUGCUCCCGACUCCACUCUGACACUUGAUCCUUCCCCAGCAUACCAAGGUCCCUUCCUUGUACAGCACAUUCUAAUGACAGAGGUGAUUGGCAACUAUAAAAUCCAGGAAAACAAAACAAAACGAAAACCUGAGGUGAAAUGAAAGAAGAGUAUAACAAAAUACCUCUUCAGAAAUACCUAAAUGCCAGGAAUCUUCAAUGCCAGAGAGCACACAGCUCCUCGAAUUAAAGCCCGAGUGGUGUUCUCAGUAGUUCCAUUUGAAGGAGAAACACUCUGGUUUGAAGUGGGCUGCAGACAACAUUACACGCCUGCAUCCCCGUGCUGGCCGGAAGCAUCCUAACAAGAGCACACUGUUCACCCUAGGCUUAGCUUGUCCCUUACACAGAAGCACAUGGUCCCAAAGGGACGUGUCUAGUCAUGAAACAGGAUGAGCACAAGCCUGCUCUUUACAUGCAAUAACAACACUCUGUUUCUUUGUUUUCCAGAGGUGCAUAAUAACACUACUAGAUUUUAAUCUAUGUAUAAGAAAAAAACCACUCUAAAUAGGAAAGAUAAAUUAUCCUUCUUAGACACAAGUGCAUCCUGAAGGGGUCUUUUUGUUGCGUGUAGCCUCCCGGAACACACCCAGUUUCUUUUCUUUUUACUGUCCUCUGUUAUGCUGGUUAGAGAAAUAGAUUCAGGUAACACUUAGUGUGAAGGCCAGGCUUCCCAGAGACACUCUAAGAAGGCUAGCACUAGCAGCCAAAAUGUAUUUAAACUAUAAACGCAUAUAAAAUUACUAGAUAAAGUUAAAACAAAAGUUUUUAUCAAUCUAACUCAGAAAUUGGUAUCAUUCAUUUGACAAUGUAAGUUAAAUAUUUUUGGUGGGCUUUUUUUAUAUAGAAGCUGUAACAUGAGGUGGGCAUGGUAGCUCACGUUCAUAGUCCUGGCCCUCAGAGGCUGAGGCAGGACAGUAGUGGGUUUAGUAUUAGCUAAGUCGCAAGACUAUGUAUGAGCAACGUUGCAAGACUCUAUCUCACGAAAGGACUAGGUAUAGCUACUAUUGUUUCUAAGUAUGUUUGGUCAUGAAGUCUUCUGGAAUUUGAGAUAGGACAGGCCUUUAAUCCUCGGUGAGGAUUGAGGGGUAGCAUCAAAGAUGGGAAGCAUGCACUACAACUUUAUCUGGAAAGAAAUAACUAGUGGGCUCUUCUGGGUAUCUGUUCCCUGUGCAGUCUCAGGUAGACUAUGUAAUCUCUGAGCCUGUUUACCCUUUGUUACCAUGACAGUACAUAACAAGAAAAAGGUUCAGAAGGAAAGUAUGUAACCACGUAGCCUAGCCCCAGGCCAUGCCAGGGGCCAGGUGACACCAGCUAUGGCUAAUUGCCAAGUAAAGGAGACACUGAGAAGUAAGUGGGUUCUAUAACCUUCUGGACCACUACACUAUCUAUUGCAAGUGACACUGGCUCAGAAGUAUGAAGUUAAAAGUAGAUAGCUUUCAUGAAAAGUAAAGAGAGCAAAAAUGAGGAAUGUAAAAUGCACAAAGAGUUUAAUUCAGUUGCUUUUGGAAGCUUUGUGUCAUGCCAGAUCCACAUGUGCUGGGUGUUUACAGACAGGUAAAGGCUGCCUAAGAAGUCAGGGUUCCCCCUCACCCCCAUCCUGCUGGAAUCCUCUGCACAUGUGUACUCUAGACAUGCAGCCAGGCUGCUCAAACAGAAAAUCUUGAAGGGAGCAGAAGGCAUGCCUAGCGACUCUUCAUUUUCCAGCGUGCUGUGAGCAUGCGAAGGACACAGUGGGAGUCAGUGGGUUCAGGAGCCUCCUGCACAACUGCCCAGGCCAGAAGAAAGCCUCCUGUUCAACAAGCCUUUGCUGGGACCCAGUGUGAACCAAAUUCUAGAGAACAGCUAGGUGAAAACCUUUCCACUCCUAGAGCAUGCACGCUACUGAGCAUCACAGAAUGGCAGGAUUCACUACGUGUGUGCUGGAAAUUGAGCAAGGAAGGAAGAUGGGGCUAGAGGAAGGAGUCUUGAAAGCAUGCUCAGGAAAGACCCUCUGUUGCAUGACGAUGCUACAGAGCCUGAGAAGGUAAAGGGACCUCUGAGAGUGGUGAGUUCUGCCCUAUAUGUAAGAACAUAAACCUCACCACCCACUAAUCAAGAGUUGGUUCAGAACUCAUAUAGAGCAUGGAAAUAAUGUAUUUCCUAAAUUAAUAUCUAACUCAUAUUCUAUAUAAAAAUUGUAGUGCCAGUAAGGGAAAGUUACUGGGCUCUAUACCCAGCCUAGGUUGAGCACCACCCCAGCACAUCCCUCCCAUCUCCUAACUGCUGCCUUCUUCUCUACCAACAUUGCAGUCAUGUUCACAACUCAGUACUGUCAUGAAGAAAUCACAGGUCUUAGCACAGAGCACAGUGAGCCCCAGGGAAGAGCUUCCAACCGCUCUGUCUAGAACCACGGAAUACGCCACUGGGCGCUUUACUUCUGCUCAAAUCAAGUGUUCGUCUAGUGGCAUUAAAAUGUGCAAACAUACCUGAAACCUGACUCAUAUAAACAGGACCCAUAGAAUUCUCACACCUUCUGUAAAAAAAAAUACUACAAAGCUUUAGUUAAUUUUAUAAGAGAUGCCUAUUCGCUACAUGAAGAAUUUCUAAUGAUGCUAGUGUAGACGGUCUAAUUCACUUCUCAGAUCAGUUUUUGAAAUGGCCAAUUAUCAGUGUUAGAUUUUGUUUCAGUGUCCUGACUUGCAAAAGAACACAAUUCAGAAGUUAAAGAAAUCCUGAAACAUGUAAAGUUCAGAAUGAGAAUUAGAGCUACAGGUUGUGGUGAUGAAUGUCAGUCGGACACCCUAAAACAUUUCCCUCUUCACUUGUAAAGCUAACGUGUAGAAUUUGAGGACAUCUAUAGUGGUACUCAGCUGAGAGGUAAUGCAGCCUUGGCCAGCCAGCAUUUACUGUAGACUGGUGGCAUCCUGUUUGCCAGGGACAGACAUACACACACACACACACACACACACACACACACACCGAGAGGUUUCCAUCCUCGAUCUCCACAGCAUUGUCCUGUCCCCACGGUGGUGAAGCUCCUUAAACCUGACACAUCUCCUGGUCCAUCUCUACAUUUUCCCCCCAAAACAAAAUCACCCACACCUUUUCAGAACAAUAGCGACACUUUCUGCGUGUCAGGAAGCUGUAGCUUUUCCUCAAACCACUGUCUGUGAAAAUGAUUUCUCCCCCCCGCCCCCAAGGUUGCUAGUCGGAACACUAUGACAGGAUUGCAUUACGGUAACCCCAACACAGUACAGCCCUGGCAGACUUGCUGUCAUUCUGCAGUCAUUUAAAGGGAAUUUUUCCUAACUUUUUUUUUAAGCAAAAUUACAUUUGAAUGUUUCACAAAUAGCCAGUGGGAUAAGGUCAGAGACACCUGGCACACUGCUUUUGAUGCUCUGAAAAUACUGAAGACUGUUUGUGGUUUUUAACCAGUGAACUUUUUUUUUUUUUUAACAUGCAGUGAAUUUGUUAGGCUUUGAACACCAGCUGAGGUAGUCACACUUGGCCCCCAUUGAAAUCAAAGGGACUAGGGGAGGGGUGGCGUCUAGGAGAGACUCAGACCCAUUUCCCUGCCAGUUCCCAUGCGUGUAUUUAACUUUAGUUUUCUUUUUUCCUUUUUUUUCUUUUUUUGUUUUUUUUUUUCUUUUGUUUUGUUUUUUCAAGACAGGGUUUCUCUGUGUAGCCCUGGCUGUCCUGGAACUCACUCUGUAGACCAGGCUGGCCUCGAACUCAGAGAUCUGUGUGCCCCUGCUUCCCAAGUGCUGGGAUUAAAUGUGUGCGCCACCACUGCCUGGCUUUUUAAAUUUUUUUUUUUAAUACUUUAGUUUUCAUCAGUGUGCCAAUAACUUUAUGAAAGAUGGUCUUUAAACCUAGUCUGAGUUAAAUACCAACACUUUAAAAACGAUUUUUGUCACACUAGACUUGGGCAGCCUUGUGAGACUAGUUGAGGUUCACUGUACCACAGCACACGGUGAGGCGUAAUUCUUUCUAUAAUCAGGCACCUUCCGCUGCUUCCGAGUAAGGUCGUUUUCCUGUGUAGAGCGUAACACUGCAGCAGAGGCCCCACCCUGCCAUAGGCAGCCCGGCCCGACAGCUGUCCACACAGCAUUCUGUGGUUGAAAAAUGGAUGUCUACCAGGAAAUCCAGGACAGGCCAUGUUUUCUCAGACCCCAACUUUGUGGGCACUCUGUUGCUUGUGUGAGAAACUUUCUGGCAUGUGGAUAAUUAUUUCAAACUACAGUUCAGGCACCGAUGCAACUGUUUCAUAGCGUGUGCAGAACACUCUUAGUUCCAACACGACACUUUGCUUCUGCACUCUGAAAACCUGCUAUCAGAAACCAUUUCUAUCCUUGGAGUGUGAGCUCUCAGUAGGAGGCUUCAUCACUGUGUUUGCAUAUCAGUCUUCUCCCCUCCACUCUGUUGCCAUGUUAUUCUGAGCAAGUCUUAUGCCAAAUGCCAUGUACAAUGUCUGUAUGGAAGAUUAAACUGCUCUCCUGUGUGGUAAGGCUGUUUAGUUGCCGACUUCAUAGUUGGGAUCUGAUAUUCCCACACCGAGUCCGCGAUGUAUCCGGAAAUCCAGGUUGGCGUCGUACAUUUCAUUCUGAUGUGAACUUUUCUCUGCUUUCCUUUGUUCUAAGACUCCAUUUUGCAAUAAACGUUUUGACAGUAAA